GCCUUCGUGGUAUAGUGGUCAGCCCGCUCGACGCGUAACCGAGUAAGUCUGUGGUUCGAUUCCCGACGAAGGCU
rnacentral:tRNA from 1 species